rnacentral:rRNA from 1 species
UACGUAGGUGGCAAGCGUUGUCCGGAAUUAUUGGGCGUAAAGCGCGCGCAGGCGGUUCCUUAAGUCUGAUGUGAAAGCCCCCGGCUCAACCGGGGAGGGUCAUUGGAAACUGGGGAACUUGAGUACAGAAGAGGAAAGCGGAAUUCCACGUGUAGCGGUGAAAUGCGUAGAGAUGUGGAGGAACACCAGUGGCGAAGGCGGCUUUCUGGUCUGUAACUGACGCUGAGGCGCGAAAGCGUGGGGAGCGAUCCGG